AACGCUGGCGGCGUGCCUAAUACAUGCAAGUCGAACGGUCUUUCUAUGGAAGCUUGCUUCCACUGAGAAGAUAGUGGCGAACGGGUGAGUAACACGUGGGUAACCUGCCCAUAAGAGGGGGAUAACAUCCGGAAACGGGUGCUAAUACCGCAUAGUUUUCUUGAUUGCAUGAUUGAGAAAGGAAAGACGGCCUUUGUGCUGUCGCUUAUGGAUGGACCCGCGGCGUAUUAGUUAGUUGGUGAGGUAACGGCUCACCAAGACGAUGAUACGUAGCCGACCUGAGAGGGUGAUCGGCCACAUUGGGACUGAGACACGGCCCAAACUCCUACGGGAGGCAGCAGUAGGGAAUCUUCCGCAAUGGACGAAAGUCUGACGGAGCAACGCCGCGUGAGUGAAGAAGGUUUUCGGAAUCGUAAAACUCUGUUGUCAGAGAAGAACAAGUUGGAGAGUAACUGCUCCAGCCUUGACGGUAUCUGACCAGAAAGCCACGGCUAACUACGUGCCAGCAGCAGC
rnacentral:rRNA from 1 species